CCCAGGGAAGAAGGGGAGAAUGGAGAUUGUUGGGGGAUCAAGAUCAAAUGGCGAAGAAAGGCGGGAAGAGACCAGUGGCGCCUCCUCUUUGCCCCGAAGCUGCUGUAGAGGCAGAUUUGGAGUGGGGUAGAAGUGGAAGCGGAGGAACAUCCAGCUCCCAAGCAGAGGCGGAUUUAGGGCAGCGCAGCCGGUCCCCCCCCCCCGCGCUGAGCCUGGAGGGGCCACAGGGGAGCAGAAGGACGAAGGAAUGAAAGGAGCAGAAUGGGAGGCGAGAGGAGGCAGCCU